GAAAUAAUAUAAAUUCCAAGAUUUUUCCGGAAUUUAAAAUGGGUUGUCCAUUUUUCGGUGGUCGCCUAAAAUGCAAGACAAGCUCAUUUCUUGGGUUGCGUGAUACUUUCAGUUACCUCGUGACACUUAGGAAUCUUCGGGCGUG
rnacentral:rRNA from 1 species